AGAACUUUGAAGAGAGAGUUCAAGAGUACGUGAAACCGUUCAGGGGUAAACCUGAGGAACCCAAAAGAUCGAAUGGAGAGAUUCAUCGUCAGCGACGCAGGCUUCACGAUGGCGAGUGAUGCUACGGGAUUUCGGUCCCGGGGCACGCGGUCGUCGCGUAUGUCCGUCGGCGUCGGCGUGCACUUCUCUCCUAGUAGGACGUCGCGACCCGUUGGGUGCCGGUCUAAGGCCCGGGUGGGCGCCUGUCUAGUCGCUUCGGCGCAUCGAGGCAGACCCCCGGUCGCCAGUUGCCGGCUGCCCGGCGGUACUCACAUGGUAUCGGGCCGCAAAAUCGAACUGCGUCGGACCCGUCGCAAGCGCGAUCAGUGUUUCACGGAGGUGCGGACCCAGAGCCGUCACCGUGCCUGAUCAGCUGUUGGUCGUACGGUGCCUCUCCGACUGGCCAUAGUACGAUCGAUACCGGUCGGCGACGCUACUGCUUUGGGUAAUCUCAGGACCCGUCUUG
rnacentral:rRNA from 1 species